UACGUAGGGGGCAAGCGUUGUCCGGAUUCAUUGGGCGUAAAGAGCGUGUAGGCGGCCAGGUAGGUCGGUUGUGAAAACUGGAGGCUCAACCUUCAGAGGUCGACCGAAACCAUCUGGCUAGAGUCCGGGAGAGGAGAGUGGAAUUCCUGGUGUAGCGGUGAAAUGCGCAGAUAUCAGGAAGAACACCCGUGGCGAAAGCGGCUCUCUGGAACGGUACUGACGCUGAGAGCGAAAGCGUGGGGAGCGAACAGG
rnacentral:rRNA from 1 species